rnacentral:lncRNA from 1 species
GAAAAAAGCAAGAUGGCGGCAGACGUGAACCAGCAUUGCUUUUACCAGCCACAGGUCAUUAUGAUAUCAUAAGGUAGAUGCAGAGGUGUGUUGGAGCUGGGAUUGCAGAUGGUUGCCACCUGCCCAGUAUGAGUGCUGGGACUUGAACUCAUAUCGUAUGCAAAAGCAAUACAUGCUGCUCUCUUAGUCACUGAGCCAUCAUCUUUCCAGUCAUCAUUGUGGUUCUUAAAUGUGGAAACAGGAAGAGCCACCCACUGACAUCACAGGAAGAUGCUGUUGUGUUGGUACACGUUCCAGCACUGCUGCUAUGUACUAAGUCUGCAACACUUAUUUGAAUUCAAAAGCUUUGGUUUUUAGUAAUGUUGUUGGAUUUUGAUAGUAAGACGUGAUAAGAG